UUGAUCCUGGCUCAGAAUCAACGCUGGCGGCGUGCCUAACACAUGCAAGUCGAACGAGAAAGUGGAGCAAUCCAUGAGUAAAGUGGCGCACGGGUGAGUUACACGUGACUAACCUACCCUUGAGUGGGGGAUAACCUAGAGAAAUCUGGUCUAAUACCGCAUAAUACCGAGAGGUCAAAGGAGCAAUUCGCUUAAGGAGUGGGUCGCGGCCGAUUAGUUAGUUGGCGGGGUAAUGGCCCACCAAGACUGUGAUCGGUAUCCGGCCUGAGAGGGCGCACGGACACACUGGAACUGAAACAUGGUCCAGACUCCUACGGGAGGCAGCAGUGGGGAAUUUUGCGCAAUGGGGUAAACCCUGACGCAGCAACGCCGCGUGGAGGAUGAAGUCCCUUGGGACGUUAACUCCUUUCGAUCGGGACGAUAAUGACGGUACCGAGAGAAGAAGCCCCUGCUAACUUCGUGCCAGCAGCCGCGGUAAUU
rnacentral:rRNA from 1 species